UCCGGCCAUAUCACGUUGAAACACCGGCUCCCAUAAGAUCAUCAAAGUUAAGCAAAGCGAAGCUUGUCAGUAUAUAGAUAGGUGACUGCUUGUGAAUACCAGGUGCUGUAAU